UACGGGGGGGGCAAGCGUUGUUCGGAAUUACUGGGCGUAAAGGGCUCGUAGGCGGCCAACUAAGUCAGACGUGAAAUCCCUCGGCUUAACCGGGGAACUGCGUCUGAUACUGGAUGGCUUGAGUUUGGGAGAGGGAUGCGGAAUUCCAGGUGUAGCGGUGAAAUGCGUAGAGAUCAGGAAGAACACCGGUGGCGAAGGCGCUCUGCUAGGCCGCAACUGACACUGAGGGACGAAAGCUAGGGGAGCGAAUGGG
rnacentral:rRNA from 1 species